rnacentral:rRNA from 1 species
UUCUGUAAGCCUGUGAAGGUGAGUUGAGAAGCUUGCUGGAGGUAUCAGAAGUGCGAAUGCUGACAUGAGUAACGACAAUGGGUGUGAAAAACACCCACGCCGAAAGACCAAGGGUUCCUGCGCAACGUUAAUCGACGCAGGGUUAGUCGGUUCCUAAGGCGAGGCUGAAAAGCGUAGUCGAUGGGAAACAGGUUAAUAUUCCUGUACUUCUGGUUACUGCGAUGGAGGGACGGAGAAGGCUAGGCCAGCUUGGCGUUGGUUGUCCAAGUUUAAGGUGGUAGGCUGAAAUCUUAGGUAAAUCCGGGGUUUCAAGGCCGAGAGCUGAUGACGAGUCGUCUUUUAGAUGACGAAGUGGUUGAUGCCAUGCUUCCAAGAAAAGCUUCUAAGCUUCAGGUAACCAGGAACCGUACCCCAAACCGACACAGGUGGUCGGGUAGAGAAUACCAAGGCGCUUGAGAGAACUCGGGUGAAGGAACUAGGCAAAAUGGCACCGUAACUUCGGGAGAAGGUGCGCCGGCUAGGGUGAAGGAUUUACUCCGUAAGCUCUGGCUGGUCGAAGAUACCAGGCCGCUGCGACUGUUUAUUAAAAACACAGCACUCUGCAAACACGAAAGUGGACGUAUAGGGUGUGACGCCUGCCCGGUGCCGGAAGGUUAAUUGAUGGGGUUAGCGCAAGCGAAGCUCUUGAUCGAAGCCCCGGUAAACGGCGGCCGUAACUAUAACGGUCCUAAGGUAGCGAAAUUCCUUGUCGGGUAAGUUCCGACCUGCACGAAUGGCGUAACGAUGGCGGCGCUGUCUCCACCCGAGACUCAGUGAAAUUGAAAUCGCUGUGAAGAUGCAGUGUAUCCGCGGCUAGACGGAAAGACCCCGUGAACCUUUACUGUAGCUUUGCACUGGACUUUGAGCCUGCUUGUGUAGGAUAGGUGGGAGGCUUUGAAGCGUGGACGCCAGUUCGCGUGGAGCCAUCCUUGAAAUACCACCCUGGCAUGCUUGAGGUUCUAACUCUGGUCCGUAAUCCGGAUCGAGGACAGUGUAUGGUGGGCAGUUUGACUGGGGCGGUCUCCUCCUAAAGAGUAACGGAGGAGUACGAAGGUGCGCUCAGACCGGUCGGAAAUCGGUCGCAGAGUAUAAAGGCAAAAGCGCGCUUGACUGCGAGACAGACACGUCGAGCAGGUACGAAAGUAGGUCUUAGUGAUCCGGUGGUUCUGUAUGGAAGGGCCAUCGCUCAACGGAUAAAAGGUACUCCGGGGAUAACAGGCUGAUACCGCCCAAGAGUUCAUAUCGACGGCGGUGUUUGGCACCUCGAUGUCGGCUCAUCACAUCCUGGGGCUGAAGCCGGUCCCAAGGGUAUGGCUGUUCGCCAUUUAAAGUGGUACGCGAGCUGGGUUUAGAACGUCGUGAGACAGUUCGGUCCCUAUCUGCCGUGGACGUUUGAGAUUUGAGAGGGGCUGCUCCUAGUACGAGAGGACCGGAGUGGACGAACCUCUGGUGUUCCGGUUGUCACGCCAGUGGCAUUGCCGGGUAGCUAUGUUCGGAAAAGAUAACCGCUGAAAGCAUCUAAGCGGGAAACUUGCCUCAAGAUGAGAUCUCACUGGGAACUUGAUUCCCCUGAAGGGCCGUCGAAGACUACGACGUUGAUAGGCUGGGUGUGUAAGCGUUGUGAGGCGUUGAGCUAACCAGUACUAAUUGCCCGUGAGGCUUGACCA